rnacentral:rRNA from 1 species
UGGGAAUCUGCCCUUGGGUUCGGGAUAACAUUUGGAAACGACUGCUAAUACCGGAUGAUGUCUUCGGACCAAAGAUUUAUCGCCCAGGGAUGAGCCCGCGUCGGAUUAGCUAGUGGUGGGUAAAGGCCUACCAAGGCAACGAUCCGUAGCUGGUCUGAGAGGAUGAUCAGCCACACUGGGACUGAGACACGGCCCAGACUCCGUACGGGAGCAG